rfam:Gorilla gorilla gorilla genomic chromosome, chr1, whole genome shotgun sequence
UUAAAGAUUUUUUUAAAAAUCAUCUACAUAAAAUAUAAAUGAUGCU